rfam:Arabis alpina cultivar Pajares scaff_67745_1_contig_11, whole genome shotgun sequence.
AACCCAUGAUGCGGACAGUCUCUCUGAUAUCCCUUGAAUCUCUCCCACGCAGCUUUGAAAGUUUCUGUCGGACCCUGAACGAACGUAGAGAUCUUAGCUCGUAGAUC